AUUGAACGCUGGCGGCAGGCCUAACAAAUGCAAGUAGAACGAGUGGCGGACGGGUGAGUAAUGUCUGGGAAACUGACCGAUGGAGGGGGAUAACUACUGGAAACGGGAGCUAAUAACGAAUAACAUAGAAUGUGACAAGAUGGGAUUAGCUAGGAGGUGGGGUAAAGGCCCACAUAGGCGACGAUCACUAGCUGGUCUGAGAGGAUGACCAGCCAAACUGGAACUGAGACACGGUCCAGACUCCUACGGGAGGCAGCAGUGGGGAAUAUUGCACAAUGGGCGCAAGCCUGAUGCAGCCAUGCCGCGUGUAUGAAGAAGGCCUUCGGGUUGUAAAGUACUUUCAGCGAGGAGGCGUUACUCGCAGAAGAAGCACCGGCUAACUCCGUGCCAGCCGCCGCGGUAAUAC
rnacentral:rRNA from 1 species